rnacentral:rRNA from 1 species
GAUGAACGCUGGCGGCGUGCCUAAUACAUGCAAGUCGAGCGAACGGACGAGAAGCUUGCUUCUCUGAUGUUAGCGGCGGACGGGUGAGUAACACGUGGAUAACCUACCUAUAAGACUGGGAUAACUUCGGGAAACCGGAGCUAAUACCGGAUAAUAUUUUGAACCGCAUGGUUCAAAAGUGAAAGACGGUCUUGCUGUCACUUAUAGAUGGAUCCGCGCUGCAUUAGCUAGUUGGUAAGGUAACGGCUUACCAAGGCAACGAUGCAUAGCCGACCUGAGAGGGUGAUCCGCCACCCUGGAACUGAGACACGGUCCAGACUCCUACGGGAGGCAGCAGUAGGGAAUCUUCCGCAAUGGGCGAAAGCCUGACGGAGCAACGCCGCGUGAGUGAUGAAGGUCUUCGGAUCGUAAAACUCUGUUAUUAGGGAAGAACAUAUGUGUAAGUAACUGUGCACAUCUUGACGGUACCUAAUCAGAAAGCCACGGCUAACUACGUG